GCUAGGCAUGAUGGCACACACCUGUAAUCCCAGCAGCUCAGGAGGCUGAAGCAGGAGAAUUGGAAGUUCAAAGCAAGCCUCUGCAACUUAGCAAGCUCCUGUUUCAA
rnacentral:sRNA from 1 species